AAAAAAUAUAGAGUUUGGGCAAUGGUCCAGCCAAUUUCUCAAUCCAAGAAUGGGUUAAAGUAUAAUAUAAAAGCUCAUAUAUGGAUAAGCUUUUAAUUCGACUUCAAAAUAAGGCAGUAGAUAUAUUUCCACCUUAAUUUAAUAACCUACCUAAAGUCUAAACAUACCAAGUGAAAUUUUAAUCAUCUGACUACUCAUUCAGAAGAGUACUGCUGCCUCUAUCAGUUGUGAA
rnacentral:misc_RNA from 1 species